CCUACGGGUGGCACCAGUGGGGAAUAUUGCACAAUGGGCGCAAGCCUGAUGCAGCCAUGCCGCGUGUAUGAAGAAGGCCUUAGGGUUGUAAAGUACUUUCAGUUGGGAGGAAGGCGUUGAUGCUAAUAUCAUCAGCGAUUGACGUUACUCGCAGAAGAAGCACCGGCUAACUCCGUGCCAGCAGCCGCGGUAAUACGGAGGGUGCAAGCGUUAAUCGGAAUUACUGGGCGUAAAGCGCACGCAGGCGGUCUGUCAAGUCGGAUGUGAAAUCCCCGGGCUCAACCUGGGAACUGCAUUUGAAACUGGCAGGCUUGAGUCUUGUAGAGGGGGGUAGAAUUCCAGGUGUAGCGGUGAGAUGCGUAGAGAUCUGGAGGAAUACCGGUGGCGAGGGCGGCCCCCUGGACAAAGACUGACGCUCAGGUGCGAAAGCGUGGGGAGCAAACAGGAUUAGAUACCCGUGUAGUC
rnacentral:rRNA from 1 species